UGGCUCAGGAUGAACGCUAGCUACAGGCUUAACACAUGCAAGUCGAGGGGAAACGAUAGAGAAAGCUUGCUUUUUCUAGGCGUCGACCGGCGCACGGGUGAGUAACGCGUAUCCAACCUGCCCACCACUUGGGGAUAACCUUGCGAAAGUAAGACUAAUACCCAAUGACGUCUCUAGAAGACAUCUGAAGGAGAUUAAAGAUUCAUCGGUGAUGGAUGGGGAUGCGUCUGAUUAGCUUGUUGGCGGGGUAACGGCCCACCAAGGCGACGAUCAGUAGGGGUUCUGAGAGGAAGGUCCCCCACAUUGGAACUGAGACACGGUCCAAACUCCUACGGGAGGCAGCAGUGAGGAAUAUUGGUCAAUGGGCGAGAGCCUGAACCAGCCAAGUAGCGUGCAGGAUGACGGCCCUAUGGGUUGUAAACUGCUUUUAUAAGGGAAUAAAGUGAGCCUCGUGAGACUUUUUGCAUGUACCUUAUGAAUAAGGACCGGCUAAUUCCGUGCCAGCAGCCGCGGUAAUACGGAAGGUCCGGGCGUUAUCCGGAUUUAUUGGGUUUAAAGGGAGCGUAGGCCGCAGGUUAAGCGUGUUGUGAAAUGUAGGGGCUCAACCUCUGCACUGCAGCGCGAACUGGCUUGCUUGAGUACGCACAAAGUGGGCGGAAUUCGUGGUGUAGCGGUGAAAUGCUUAGAUAUCACGAAGAACUCCGAUUGCGAAGGCAGCUCACUGGAGCGCAACUGACGCUGAAGCUCGAAAGUGCGGGUAUCGAACAGGAUUAGAUACCCUGGUAGUCCGCACGGUAAACGAUGGAUGCCCGCUGUUGGUCUGAAUAGGUCAGCGGCCAAGCGAAAGCAUUAAGCAUCCCACCUGGGGAGUACGCCGGCAACGGUGAAACUCAAAGGAAUUGACGG
rnacentral:rRNA from 1 species